ACUCCACCUUAGUCUACAUGCAGCAUUAUGUCUGCAUCCUACGGAGUUCAGUUCAUUAUCAGACGCAGAGGCUAGCUCGAGGCACAGCUAAGAAAAGUGGAAGUAUGAAGUAUGAAGUAGAAUCAAGGAAGGCGAUGAAGGCUGCCUCCACAGGUACCCCGACAACACCGCUACCUGAGACACCUAGGCCUAGGGUUGCUCCAGCUGCUGUGAACAUUAUAUCGUGGUCUCUGCCACUAAUCUUCCUCCGCUCACAACUACGUAUACGACAAAUCAUGGCCCCCAUUAAGGAGGUAUCAACUUAACUGGCGCCGGACUAAUGAAACUUAAUUAAUUAUGUGUUGUGUUUGUAGUUUGUAUUUGUUAAAUUUAAUUUGUUAAAUUUAAUUUGGUAGCAUUAUAACGAAAUUAAUUAUUUAUUAAAGCUUAUUAAUCAA